UGCUGCUGGGGGCACAGCCACUUCCGCCGCGGCUGGCGGAGCCGGCUCUGCCGCCUCUACCUUGACGGCUUCUUCGGUAAUUGCAGCAACGGGCUCUUCUGCGGACUUUGGCGGCUCCUCCGCCGCCGCCGCCUCAGGAGCGGGUUCCUCGACCUUGGCGGCGGGAGGGGGAGGGGGCGGUGGGGCCGCGAACUCGUUGUUGGCGAGCGCGGCUUGGAUGAGUUGUUUGAACUCUUCGAGGGCUUUUUUCUCGGGAUCGAUGAGGUCGGCGACCUUGUUGCUCUCCUCCUUAAAGGAGGUGGACUGGCCGACGGCGUCGUCGGUCUCCGCUGCCGGGGCAUCUGUGCCGGCGGGGGUUUCAGCUGCUGCGGAGGACUUUUCUGGCUCAUCCGCCGCGGGAGGAGUGGAAUCCAGCACCGCCGCUGGCUUCUCGGCUGCUGGAGCUGGUGGCGGGGUAACCACGACCUCGGCAGCGGCGGCGGCGGGGGCUAGGGUUUCGGCGGCCAUGUCGAGGAAGAGAGAGAAA
rnacentral:misc_RNA from 1 species